rnacentral:lncRNA from 1 species
GCGGUGGGCGGCUGCCUCGGCCCCGGAUGGCUGUCUCCACAGAGGGCUGGCACUGGACCCUGCCUGGGGCACCCCACUUGAACCCCUACUCCCGGCCUCAGCUCUGGGACUCUGAACCCAGCACCUGCAAAGAGCCUGGCUGUGGGGACCCUUGGCUGCAGCAUCACAUUUAACCCUCCUUGGAAUGCUACAGGGAGCAUCCAGCAGACGGGAAGACAGAUGAUGCUGGAGACUGAGGAGCGACCUGCUGGAAGGAGAACAGUCCUUGGGGCGGAAUUCUGAGUGGGAUCCAACACAUUCAACAGCCGAUUGUGGAAUGAACAAACAACAGCUCAGCGCUUCCUUCUCCAAUGGGAUUAACUCUGCUUUCUCCUGCCCAGAGGGGGGGUUGGCCGCAGAGGAGCCAGGACAGUGCUCUGUCCCCUGUGUUCCAGUCCACAUCCCCCUCACCCCCGCCUGUCCUCAUGGUCUACGUGCCCAUGGGGAUACACUGGCCUGUGCAUUGCUUCCUGCUGGGUCUCAGACUCGGGGCUGUGGCAGAUGGGGACAGGGCCUGUCCUGGCACCAUCUGCCAAUUCCCUUUGUACUCCCAGUCCAUGAGGAAGUUGACUCUGCCCUGAAAACGACUGUUCCUGUGGUCCAUAAACAAAGGAAUGGAGAGUCAACAAUAGGCCGGGGUUGUUUCAUCUUCCUGAAUAAGCAAGCAGGUUAUUCUGAGAGCUGAUUGACAUAUGCAUGGGCAGAUGUUUUAUAAACUGCAUUCUCUACAAACUGAAGGGGCAAAUGUGAUGGAUUCCAAGGCUCCACAAGACAUUAUCAUGGUCAAUGUCCAGCAGACCAGAUAUGGGGUGAUCAAUUGUUUGAAGGUAAAAGGUAAGAGCCAUGAAGCCAAGUUACAAGAACAUCUGUGUUUACUGGGACAUUGGAGAGCCUUAGCUCAUGGAUAUAUAAGGCGACUUGGGCAGCAUCAGCCUUAUAGGGCUGAAAGGCAACCCCCUGGGGCAGUAUCCUUAAUGCGGCAAUUUAUUAGACAUGGUGAGAGCAGGUCACACUGUUCCUGGGAGUGGAGUGGCGUGAUCAUGGCUCACUGCAGCCUCAACCUCCUCCCCAGGUUCAGGUGAUUCUCCCACCUUAGCCUCCCGAGUAGCUGUGACUACCGGCUGGGGCCACCACGCCCAGCUAAUUUUUGUAUUUUUAGUAGAGACGGGGUUCCACCAUAUUGCCCAGGCUGGUCUCAAACUCCUGGCCUCAAGCGAUACACCUGCCUCGGCCUACCAACAUGUUGGGAUUACAGGUGUGAUCUGGUUCUUUCUGAUUGAGGAGUCUGUCUGGGCUCAGGAGGAGGGUCUUGUCUGCAUAAGAAGAUGGAUGAAACUUUCUCAGUUCCUUCCUGACACCAACAAGAAGAAACAGAGUGUAGCAUAAGCACACGGAACACUGGUCAAAAGGACAGGUUCUAGUCCUCACCACACCAUGAACUGGCUGUGUGAUCUUGGGCAAGUCAUUUCUCUUCUCUGGUCCACUCAGUGUCUCCAUUUGACAUACUGGAGAAUUGAAUUUAUCUGUCUCUAGGAUCUUUCCCUUUCACCUCCUUCCAUGGUUUUCUAAGUACCAUCUCUUUAUUUCUUACUCGCACACAAUCUCACCUCUGCCUUCUAGCUAGAAUGCAUGUUUCUGAGGCCAAGCAUCUUCCCCGAGUGCUCCCUAGUAAGUGCCUCACACAUGUGGGAUCAGAGCCUGUGGUUGCAUAGCAGUAAAAUUAGCAUUACCUGCAGGUGGGGGUGAGGGGUUUCACCCCAUCCUCCAGCUUCUUAGAGGAGAAAAUAUUUUAAUGGUUGGAAACAACCUGGAUCUACACAAAAGGGCAUGAAAACAGCCACUUAAAUUCUACGUGCACUUGGCACUGCAAAGAUCAGAAAACUCCCAUCAAGAUAGAUGAUACGAAGAAAAAAAGCAUGAGCACUUUGCUUUAAUUUAACUCAAGAUGACACCUCCAUCAUCCCGUGGUCUGUAGUCUCGCGAGGGUCCCCGCUCCCUUUUGCACAUGCGUGGUGUGUGUUCACACGGACUCUUCUACAGCUUUGCAUCGCUGGGUUCACAGCAUUCCUCCUCUCCCUCAUUGGUUCCACACAUUCAGCCAUAGCUGUUUGUGACUUCUCUCCUUCUGCAAUUGUUUGAAAACAGUGUCAGAGCAUGGCUCCUUUAUCUUGCUGUGAUUGCUUUAUUUAUUUAUUUAUUUUUUUGAGAUGGAGUCUUGCUGUGUUGCCCAGGCUAGAGUGCAGUGGCACGAUCUCAGCUCACUGCAACCUUUGCCUCCUGGGUUCAAGUGAUUCUCCUGUCUCAGCCUCCCGAGUAACUGGGAUUAUAGGCAUGCACUACCACGCCUGGCUAAUUUUUUGUAUUUUUAGUAGAGACAGGGUUUCACCAUGUUGGCCAGGCUGCUCUUGAACUCCUGACCUCAAGUGAUCCGCCCACCUUGGCCUCCCAAAGUGCCGGGAUUACAGACAUGAGCCACAGUGCCUGGCCAUUGCUGCGAUUGGUUCUAAGAGUCUUUCUGCCCUUUUUUCUCUCUUCCUGCUAUGCUAACCCUCACGGGACUCAGAUUUCUUGGGAAAGUUGCACAGGAAUCAUCUACUUUGCAGGGUUAGAUAUCAGCCUUGCCUUGAAAGGCUGAGCAUCAUAAACAGUAACACACAGUCUGUUUUCUCUCCCAUACUCCCACCCUCCCACACCUCAUACUGAAUAUUUAAGAGGUAUUGAGCUUUGGGGAAAAGAAGGGAGGAGAUGUUGGGGAGGAGGUGUUCCUUGAUAUGAGAAAGCCCAUUUCCAGAGAAUCAGAAGACUUGAAUUCAAUUCUGCUGUCAGGGGUCAUGGGGAAGUCACUUUAUCAUCUGGGACUCAGUUUCCCCAUAUGAAAAAUUGUCAUGAAAAUAAGUAAACCAUAAAGUCCAUUUUAAACUCCAAAAUAGAGAGACCCUCCCUCUCCUUUUCUAAGACCUUACUUAGGGUGAGGUCCCAUCAAGGUUCUUUAUAACGUACCCCUUUUAUUUAUUUGAGAUAGAAUCUUGCCCUUGUUGCCCAAACUGGAGUGCAGUGGCACCAUCUUAGCUCACUGCAGCCUUGAACUCCGGGGCUCAAGCAACCCUCCCACCUUAGCCUCCAGAAUAGCUGGGACUAUGGGCAUGUACCAUGCCCAGCUAUUUUUUUUUCCAUAGAGAUGGGGUCUCCCUGUGUUGCCCAGGCUGGUCUCGAACUCCUGGCCUCAACUGAUCCUCCUGCCUCGGCCUCCCAAAGUGCUGGGAUUAUAGGCACGAGCCAACAGUCCCAGUCAUGCACUCCAUUUAAUCCUCAAAACAGCCCUUUGAGGGUGGUGUUAUUAGCCUCAUUUUACAAAUGGGGCAACCAAGGUUCAGAGAGGUUAAUGGACCUGCCCAGUGAAAAAGUUUAUGAAGCCAGAGACCAAAUCCAGAAUUUUCUAACUCCAGCACCCAUGUUUCUAACUCUAGAGAUUUUUCUAACUCUACCCUCUCAAAUAUGAUGAGACUUUGGUGGUACUCUCAGGAAAACUGCUGAGAAAAUGUUGCUUGAUUUCCCUGCCCCCAUUUGCACAAUGGGUUCUAUGUCAUGGAGAACUUUCCUUUCAAAAAAUUUCCAAAGGACAAGUGAUGCAUUAUGUCUUCCAUUUUUGGCAACUUCACACAAUAACCUUAACAGCCUCUUGGCUUCCAUCUCCCAGGGAUGGCAUUUCAAGUAUGCCUGGUCAUGGAGUGCCUGUGGUUUAAAAUUUUAAUGGAAGACCCUUACCCCCAUCUGUCUUGAUUCGCUGUUGCCCUGUCCCUGGCUUCCUGGUGGUCACUGAGCUCUGCGGGCCCCCCUUCCCCCAGCCCGUCUCCUCCUGCCAUUGAGAGGGGCUGUUCUCUUUCCCAAGCGGCAAGCCCCUGAUUCUUUUAGCACAGCCAAUGGGCUCCACUGGGGCUUUCAAGCUUGCUGGCAAUUUUGGAUGUCAGCAGCUGGGAAAAUCAAGCUUAAUAUUUCAUGACAUUACAAAGUCAGUUUGUUCUAUUUUCAUCCCAGAUAGAGUGAAAAAGCAGUGUUCUCAUCAGGAGACUCUCCCAAAAAAGUGGGAGGCAGUUGGUCUGGGAGCCACAGCAGGUUGGCGGGGAGUACUGGGCAGGCGGUCAGCAUUUGGAUGCUCUGGUUUUGGCUUGACAGCCAACUAGCAGUUGACCUUCGGCGAGUGAUUCUCUCUCUGAGCUUUGACUUCCUCCUGCACAAAUAAACGAUCUCUCAGACCUUGUCAAGAAUAACUUUAGACUUUGCUGGGAAUGCAAUAUCUUCUGACAAGGAGGAGUUGGCUGGAACAGCCUGGGCUCUGUACCUGUCCCUCAGAUGUCCUUUGGUGCUUUAGCCCAGUGACUCAUCGAUCUCCCAGAUUGAAGUUUGCUGGGAGAUUCCAACUGACCUGGAAGUUGCUGGAUUGAUGGGAAGAGAUCCUUCUAAUCUUAGAAGAAUUCUUGGAAUGGCUCAGAAAUAGAAACUCAAGAAGCAGAGGGAUUUAAUUACACAGGAGCUGGGACUUCUAGAUUAUGACAUUUAUAUGGUUUGGGUCUGUGUCCCCACCCAAAUCACAUGUCAAAUUAUAAUCCCCAAUGUUGGCGGUGGAGCCUGGUGGGAGGUGAUUGGAUCAUGUGGGUGGAUUUUCUUUUUGGUGCUGUUCUCAUGAUAGUGAGUGAAUUAUCAUAAGGUCAGGUUGUUUAAAAGUGUUUGGCACCUUCCCACUUUCUCUCUUCCUUCUAUUCUAGCCAUGGUUGAAGACAUGCCUGUUUCCCCUUCGCCAUCUGCCAUGACUGUAAGCUUCCUGAGGCCUUCCCAGUCAUGCUUCCUGUAUAGCCUGUGGAAACAUGCGCCAAUUAAAACCUCUUUUCUUUAUAAAUUACCUAGUCUCAGGUAUUUCUUUAUAGCAAUGCAAGAAUGGACAAAUACAGACAUCUUACGGAAAAAAGUUUAUCAAGUGGAAAGCUCUAUUGUGUACCCUCCUUGAAAAUAGAUGACCUGUUUUCUCAUCUUUCUCUUAGCGUGCUGUGGUCUUCACAUGCAGAAAGAGGAACAAGUUAAGUAGUGGUUGUCUUUGAAUAUUUUCUUAUUGAAUGGUUUCUGGCCUGGCUCAGUCCCCUUAACAUGUCAUCCUAAAGAAAUAACGAAAUAUCUUUUCCUUACAAGGCUUUCUAAAGUAUGACUUAUAAGUCAGAAACCACAAGAGAAAAUAUUAAUAAGUCCAAUAAUGUUAAAAUUGACUUAGCUAAAUGCAUCAUAAACAAGAUAAAAAAAACAUCAAACUGGAAAGAUGUUUGCAGGCUAUGUCACAGAGGAACGGAUGGUUUCUCUAAUAUAUAAAAAGUUCCAACAAACUGAUAAGAAAAGUGGACAAAGAAUACAAAAAGUCCAUAGAAAAGGAAGUAAAACUGCUUCUUAAGCAUAUGAAAAUUUACUUAGUCUCACGAGUAAGAAACAUAAAUUUUAAAAAACAUGGAGAUAGGCUGGGUGCAAUGGCCCACGCCUGUAAUCCCAGCACUUUGGGAGGCUGCUGCAGGUGGAUCAUUUGAGGUCAGUUUGAAAUCAGACUGGCUAACAUGAUGAAACCCUAUCUCUACUAAAAAUACAAAAAUUAACCAGGCAUGGUGGCAGGUGCCUGUAAUCCCAGCUACUAGGGAGGCAGAGGCAGGAGAAUUGCUUGAAUCUGGGAGGCAGAGGUUGAAGUGAGCCAAGAUUGUGCCACUGUACUCCAGCCUGGGCAACAGAGCAAGACUCCCUCUCAAAAAAAAACCACAAAAAAACAAAAACAAAAAAAGCCAGAAAACCCCCGCAAAACAUGGAGAUAAUCUUUUUCGUUUUUUCUGGGUGGCAAAGAUUAAAAAGUUAGAAAAUGCCAAGAUAGCGAGAGGUGUGUAUGAGUGUGAUAUUGGUGGUAGCGUAAAUUGCUAUAACUCUCUUGGGGGGGAAUUUGGCAAUAUCUUACCAAUAUCCUGCCAAUAUCUUUCUUACUCAUAAGUCAAAACUGUGCUUGUUAAAUCCACAAAUGAUAAUGUUUUUCCAUGUAUAUUGAAGUUUCUUAAGUAGUGUUUUAUAGAAUAAGUUUUCCUAAUACAUCAUUGAAGAGGUUUUCAGGAGCAUAGUUUGAAAAAUACUGACAGGUAUAAUGUAGGAAGUAGUUAGAAUAUAUCUGGGAGCUACCAACACCAUUCAGGUCUAGCUAUAGUGAUGUUUGCUGCCCCUCUUAGGAAGGGAAACCUUUCACAAACCUCCACCUUCAUUUUCUCCUCUUGCAAAUGCUUUUUGGUCAGAAGCAUAAAUGCCAGAGCUGCAAAAGUGAUUCAAAACCCAAGAGAACUCCCUGGGGAUAGUCUGUUCUCUCUGUAGCUGGGACAAGGAGAUGGCAGGCCCUUCUCUUCCCAAGAACCUCCCUGAUGUGCAACGAGAGGCCACAGACUUAUCUUGCAGCAUUAAUUAGGAGAGAUGCAACAUUUGGGGACAAUCUGUUCAAGAAACCCUGCACAGGACACGUUUUCAUCCUGGGCUCUGGGGCUGAUAUGUGCCAGUGGCCUAACUCCACACACCUCGAUGGAAUUCUCUGGCAGAACCGCUCCAAAAUGUGUGGAAAAAUCUGUUUUUCUGGAUUCUCCUUCUUUGCUUCAAG